rnacentral:rRNA from 1 species
UACGUAGGUGACCAGCGUUGUCCGGAUUUACUGGGCGUAAAGAGCGCGCAGGCGGUCGUUCAAGUCGAGUGUGAAAGCCCCCGGCUCAACUGGGGAGGGUCACUCGAUACUGAUCGACUUGAAGGCAGGAGAGGGAAGCGGAAUUCCCGGUGUAGUGGUGAAAUGCGUAGAUAUCAGGAGGAAUACCGAUGGCGAAGGCAGCCCCCUGGGUCGAUACUGACGCUCAUGCACGAAAGCGUGGGGAGCAAACAGG